rnacentral:rRNA from 1 species
GACGAACGCUGGCGGCGUGCCUAAUACAUGCAAGUAGAACGCUGAAGGAGGAGCUUGCUCUUCUGGAUGAGUUGCGAACGGGUGAGUAACGCGUAGGUAACCUGCCUGGUAGCGGGGGAUAACUAUUGGAAACGAUAGCUAAUACCGCAUAAGAGUAGAUGUUGCAUGACAUUUACUUAAAAGGUGCAAUUGCAUCACUACCAGAUGGACCUGCGUUGUAUUAGCUAGUUGGUGGGGUAACGGCUUACCAAGGCGACGAUACAUAGCCGACCUGAGAGGGUGAUCGGCCACACUGGGACUGAGACACGGCCCAGACUCCUACGGGAGGCAGCAGUAGGGAAUCUUCGGCAAUGGACGGAAGUCUGACCGAGCAACGCCGCGUGAGUGAAGAAGGUUUUCGGAUCGUAAAGCUCUGUUGUAAGAGAAGAACGAGUGUGAGAGUGGAAAGUUCACACUGUGACGGUAUCUUACCAGAAAGGGACGGCUAACUACGU